ACAGACUUAGUCCUAACCUUACCGUUAAUUAUUACCGAACAUAUACAUGCAAGUAUCAGCACACCAGUGAAAAUGCCCAUAAAUUCUAGUCCAGAUUAGAGGAGCAGGCAUCAGGCACACAAAUACAGUAGCCCAAGACGCCUUGCUUAGCCACACCCCCACGGGUAUUCAGCAGUAAUUAACAUUAAGCAAUAAGUGAAAACUUGACUUAGUCACGGUAAACACUAGGGCUGGUAAAUCUUGUGCCAGCUACCGCGGUCAUACAAGAAGCCCAAAUUAACAGUAAUACGGCGUAAAGAGUGGUACCAUGAUAUCAUUCAACUAAGACACAAUUGCAACAAAGCUGUCAUAAGCCUACGAUGCACCUAAACACACCAUCAAUAUGGUCUUAGCAAUAAAGAUUAAUUAAAACCACGAAAGCUAAGACCCAAACUGGGAUUAGAUACCCCACUAUGCUUAGCCCUAAAUCAUGAUACUUACAACACUAAAGUAUCCGCCCGAGAACUACGAGCACAAACGCUUAAAACUCUAAGGACUUGGCGGUGUUCCAAACCCACCUAGAGGAGCCUGUCCUAUAAUCGAUAACCCACGAUACACCCAACCAUUUCUAGCCCAAAGCAGCCUACAUACCGCCGUCCCCAGCUCACCUUACAUGAAAGACUCAAUAGUGAGCUCAAUAGCCACCCGCUAGUAAGACAGGUCAAGGUAUAGCCAAUGAAAUGGAAGAGAUGGGCUACAUUUUCUAAACUAGAAUACCACGAAAAGGGAAGUGAAAACCCCCCAAGAAGGCGGAUUUAGCAGUAAACUGGAAUAAUAAAGUCCAAUUUAAACUUGGCCCUGGAACACGUACAUACCGCCCGUCACCCUCCUCGUAAGCAAGAACAUAUAUAUUUAAUAAACACAAAACAGCUAAUAGACGAGGUAAGUCGUAACAAGGUAAGUGUACCGGAAGGUGCACUUAGCAC
rnacentral:ncRNA from 1 species